UACGUAGGGUGCAAGCGUUGUCCGGAAUUAUUGGGCGUAAAGGGCUCGUAGGCGGUCCAUCGCGUCGGGAGUGAAAAGCUGGGGCUCAACCCCAGUCCUGCUUCCGAUACGGGUGGACUAGAGGUAUGCAGGGGAGAACGGAAUUCCUGGUGUAGCGGCGAAAUGCGCAGAUAUCAGGAGGAACACCGGUGGCGAAGGCGGUUCUCUGGGCAUUACCUGACGCUGAGGAGCGAAAGCGUGGGGAGCAAACAGG
rnacentral:rRNA from 1 species